GCCAUCAUUUAAAGAAAGCGUAACAGCUCACUGGUCAAGCGCUCUUGCGCCGAAAAUGUACCGGGGCUAAAGCCAUACACCGAAGCUGCGGAUGCGUCCUUCAUUGGGCGCGUGGUAGCGGAGCGUUCUGUAAGCCUGUGAAGGGUGACCCGCGAGGGCACUUGGAGGUAUCAGAAGUGAGAAUGCUGACAUGAGUAGCGAUAAAGAGGGUGAGAGACCCUCUCGCCGAAAGACCAAGGGUUCCUGCGUAAAGCUAAUCUGCGCAGGGUUAGCCG
rnacentral:rRNA from 12 species